GAUGAACGCUGGCGGCGUGCCUAAUACAUGCAAGUCGAGCGAACAGACGAGGAGCUUGCUCCUCUGACGUUAGCGGCUGACGGGUGAGUAACACGUGGAUAACCUACCUAUAAGACUGGUAUAACUUCGGGAAACCUUAUCUAAUACCGUAUAAUAUAUUUAACCGCAUGGUUCAAUAGUUAAUUACGUUUUUUCUGUCUCUUAUCGCUUGUUCCUCGCCGCAUUAGCUAGUUGGUAAGGUAACGGCUUACCAAGGCGACGAUGCGUAGCCGACCUGAGAGGGUGAUCGGCCACACUGGAACUGAGACACGGUCCAGACUCCUACGGGAGGCAGCAGUAGGGAAUCUUCCGCAAUGGGCGAAAGCCUGACGGAGCAACGCCGCGUGAGUGAUGAAGGUCUUCGGAUCGUAAAACUCUGUUAUUAGGGAAGAACAAAUGUGUAAGUAACUAUGCACGUCUUGACGGUACCUAAUCAGAAAGCCACGGCUAACUACGUG
rnacentral:rRNA from 1 species